rfam:Glycine soja cultivar W05 scaffold2234_14, whole genome shotgun sequence.
ACAGAUUUAAACGUUGACUGUCACGUGUCACGUUUUGAUUGGACAUGAAAAUGUGCGCCUAAGAACCAACUCUAAUAUUUAUCUGUUCAUCGUCCAAUCAGAAUGUGACACGUGGCAGUCAACGUUU